rnacentral:lncRNA from 1 species
CCACACCUCCCUGCAAGCUGAGGGAGCGGGCUCCUCCUUGGCCAGCCCAGAAAGGGGCUCCCACAGUGCAGCGGUGGGCUGAAGGGCUCCUCAAGUGCCCCCAAAGUGGGAGCCCAGGCAGAGGGGGCGCCGAGAGCGAGCGAGGGCUGUGAGGACUGCCAGCACGCUGUCACCUCUCACAAGGAAGGCCGCUGUGGAGCGUGGAGGAAGCGCUCCCGGGCGGGAAGGCCGCUGUGGAGACUGGAGGAAGCGCUUCCGGGCGGGGAAGGCCGUUGCGCAGCCUGGAGGAAGCGCUUCUGGGUGGGGAAGGCCGCUGGGAGCAUGAACUUCUGAGCAGUUCUGUCCCCAAAUUGUGGGAUUAAAUGGCAUGGAAGAGAAAAACGGAAAAGACUUCCACGAACUGAACCAGUGUUCUCAAGGGCCUGCAGCGUCGAGGUGAUUGGAAGGCCCCUUCUUACCGUGUCGGGGUGCCAAGUGAC